rnacentral:rRNA from 1 species
UACGUAGGGUGCGAGCGUUGUCCGGAAUUAUUGGGCGUAAAGGGCUCGUAGGCGGUUUGUCGCGUCGGGAGUGAAAACUCAGGGCUUAACCCUGAGCCUGCUUCCGAUACGGGCAGACUAGAGGUAUGCAGGGGAGAACGGAAUUCCUGGUGUAGCGGUGAAAUGCGCAGAUAUCAGGAGGAACACCGGUGGCGAAGGCGGUUCUCUGGGCAUUACCUGACGCUGAGGAGCGAAAGUGUGGGGAGCGAGCAGG